GAUGAAUGCUGGCGGCGUGCUUAACACAUGCAAGUCGAGCGGUAAGGCCCUUCGGGGUACACGAGCGGCGGACGGCUGAGUAACGCGUGGGAACAUGCCCCAAAGUGAGGAAUAAGCUCCAGAAAUGGAGUCUAAUGCCGCAUAUGAUCUUCGGAUUAAAGGAUUUAUCCGCUUUGGGAGUGGCCUGCGUAAGAUUAGGU
rnacentral:rRNA from 1 species